AGGAGGCAGCAGUGGGGAAUUUUGCGCAAUGGGGGAAACCCUGACGCAGCAACGCCGCGUGAGUGAUGAAGGCCUUCGGGUCGUAAAGCUCUGUCUAGAGGAAAGAAGUGAUUGGUGGCUAAUAUCCAUUGAUCUUGACGGUACCUCUGAAGGAAGCACCGGCUAACUCCGUGCCAGCAGCCGCGGUAAUACGGAGGGUGCAAGCGUUGUUCGGAUUUAUUGGGCGUAAAGCGCGUGUAGGCGGUUUCUUAAGUCUGAUGUGAAAGCCCCGGGCUCAACCUGGGAAGUGCAUUGGAUACUGGGAGACUUGAGUACGGGAGAGGGUAGUGGAAUUCCCAGUGUAGGAGUGAAAUCCGUAGAUAUUGGGAGGAACACCGGUGGCGAAGGCGGCUACCUGGACCGAUACUGACGCUGAGACGCGAAAGCGUGGGGAGCAAACAGGAUUAGAUACCCUGGUAGA
rnacentral:rRNA from 1 species